AGUUAGAUGAAAUGAAAUGUUCUCCUUGCUCUUCAAACUAAGAUAAGCUAAUAACUUUGGACACAAUUUCACUCCUCUGCAUUCACCAAAUGUCCAAUUACAUAUCCUCCCUGCCUGGACCUUCAAAACAAUAUAAAACUGAAUGAAGCCAAUGAAAGAAGUCACAGGAGGAUUUUUGCAGAGCUUCCAUCCAGUUCAGAAACAAAGCAAUUCAAUACAUGUCUUCAAGAUUUCUAAAGGCAAUGACUUAAUUCUAAGUUCCAUGAAAGCAGGCAUUGUGUGAAUUUCUCCUGCAUCUGGAACUGGCCUAGCACACCAAUAGAACCGUGGAGAAUUGCCAAGAUUGCUGACUAGAUGUGGCCAGGAGAAAUAUCUCCCACUGAGAGACUGGGACAUUGGAAAGACUAUAACACACCUCUGAGUAGAUCUUCUGAUGGAAGGCAUUAAGAGUGGAUGCAGAGAGGAUGCAGAUGCUGGGCUGAAGAGAGAGGAAGCUGGGAACCCUGCAUAGUGUGGCUGAGCCUCAGGACUUGUACCUGGCCUUCAGAGACUCCUGGGGGAAGGGUGAGUUUACAGGUGAGGAGUGGCCCGCUCUCACCAUGGACCCAUUUUGGUAGGUCCCUCAACCUCUAUGGGCAUCUGAGAUGGUAGGAAAAGCUGCUCAGAGAGGUCAUAUGGGCAGGACUCCAGCCUAUGCAGAGCCCAGAGUGGUGGGAGAACAGCUGCAGUGAAGCACAUCCAGGGACAUCCAUCCUCCAAGGCUCACUGUGCUUCUCCAGGAUACUUUAGCCUCAAUAUGACUGUUAGAGCUAGACAAAGCAGGGCAGUCCUGCUUGUGGGAUGCGGCCUGAUGCCUGAUCUGAUGCUCUGUUACCUGCUGGCCUCUCUUGGGGAGCCAGUCUGGUCGUGCUUGCUUGAAGUGCAGCCUUGGAUACCCAACAGGGGUGCUUCUAGGAACCCACAUCAUAGCUCCUUCAAUGGCAGACUUAGCUCCUUCAAUGGCAGACUGUGCCUGAUUAUCAGAGAACUCCAGCAGACCAGGCCCCACUUACAUGAACCAGCCCACGCACAGCUUCACCCCAUCACAGCCCUCCCGUAAUGCUUUACUGACAUGCAUUUGCUCAUGGCCAUCCUCCAUCGCUGUGCUUGUAUGAGUCCACCUUGUUGCUUCCCCCUGCCAUUAACAUGCAGGUUCACUCCUGUGCCAGCACUAAUGUGUGCACAGAUGCUGGCAACACUGUUCUCCCCCCAACCCCUGCCACCACCGCCACCAAUGCUGCCAGUGUGAAUGCAUACAUGGACACCAGCAACUCCAUCUCUGCUAGUGUACUGCCCUUGCUGUGCUGUCAUCACUGGCAUAAACAUGUGCAGGAACACCACCUCCCUGUUCCCACAGUUGCCCUGUGCAAGCCAACAUGUGUGCACCUUGCCACAUUGCUGUGGCUGCUGGUAUGCAUGAGCCAGCAUGGAUCCCACUGCCACUACUCCAGUGACAUGCUUUGACCAGCCCCCCUCCCCAUCAGAGUGUGGUGGCCAGUGGACAAGAACACCUCAGUCUCUCCAGUGCAGCAGCUUCCUAACCUUGAGGGGCCAGAGAACAAGGCUGGGGGCCCAGUACCAGCCUCCCAGAGUUAAAACAUGCAGCCCAGCAGUGUAGAGCUGAGCCUUGGCUUUCUAAAAUCUUCCAGAAAUGAAGCCAGUUGACUGAACCCAUCAUAUGCCACAAUCUAACUCCCAGGGCAUCAAAGAAGAUAAAAGCCAAAAUCCCUAUCCAAAGGACAGUAAUAUCAAAGAUGAGAAAGAACCAGUGCAAAAAACUCUGGCAAUUCAAAAAGCCAGAGUGUCUUUUUACCUCCAAACGAUCACUCCAUUUCCUCAGUGGUGGUUCUUAACUAGGCUGAAAAGACAGAAGUGACAGAUAUAGACUUCAGAAUAUGGAUAGGAAAGAUGAUCAAGAUUUGGGAGAAGAUUGAAACCCAAUCCUAGGAAACUAAGGAAUACAAUAAUGCAAUACAGGAGCUGAAAGAUGAAAUGGCCAUUUUAAGAAAGAACCAAACUGAUGUGAUAGAGUGACAGCGCUGAAAAACUCACUUUGAGAAUUUCACAAUACAAUUGCAAGUAUUAACAGCAGAGUAGACCAUGCUGACGAAGGACUCUCAGAUCUUGAAGACCAGUUCUCCAAAGUUAACUUGGUCAGACAAAAAUAAAGAAAAAAGGAUAUAAAAAGAAUAAACAAAACCUCCAAGAAACAUGAGAUUAUGUAAAGAGAUCAAAUUUCUGAUGCAUUGGCAUCCUUGAAAAUGAGGGAGAGAAAGCACGCAACUUGGAAAACAUAUUUCAAGAUAUUGUCAAUGAAAAAUUCCCCAACCUCGCUAGAGAGUCCAAUAUUCAAAUCCAGGAAAUGAAGAGAACGCCUGCAAGAUAUUAUACAAGAUGAUCAUUCCCAAGACAGAGUCACCUGAUUCUCUGAGGUUGAAAUGAAAGAAAAAAUGUUAAAGGCAGCUAAAGAGAAGGGACAGGUUGCUUACAAAGGCAACCCCAUCAAGCUAACAGCAGACCUUUCAGCAGAAAUCCUACAAGCCAGAAAAGACUGGGGGCUUAGAUUCAGUAUUUUUAAAGAAAAUAAAAUCCAAAUAAGAAUUUCAUAUUCAGCCAAACUAAGCUUCAUAAGCAAAGGAGAAAUAAGAUCCUUUUCAGAUAAGCAAAUACUGAAAGAAUUACCAUCAGAUAUGCCUUACAUGAGGUUGUGAAGGGAGUACAAAACAUGGAAAGGAAAGAUCAUUAUCAGCAACCACAAAAACACACUUAAGUACAUAGACCAUUGAUACUAUAAAGCAACUACACAUCAAGUCUGUAUAAUACCAGCUAAAAACAUGAUGACAGGAUUAAAUCUGCACUAUCAAUAUUAACCUUAAAUGGCAAUGGGCUAAAUGCAUCAAUUAAAAGGCAUAGCAUCGCAAGCUGGAUAAAGAGCAAAAUUCAUUGGUGUGCUGUCUUCAAGAGAUCCAUCUCACAUGAAACAACGUGGAUAGGCUCAAAAUAAAGAGAUAGAGAAAAUCAACCAAGCAAAUGAGAAACACACAACCAUAAACAAAAAUGUAUUCAUGUCCUUUGUGGUGACAUGGUUGGUGCUGGAGGUCAUAAUCCUGAGCAAACUAAUCAGGACAGAAAACCAAAUACUGCAUGUUGUCACUUAUAAGUGGAAGCUAAACAUUGAAUACACAUGGACACAAAGAAGAAAAUAACAGACCCUGAGGCCUACUUGAGGGUGGAGAAUGGGAGGAGAGUGAGGAUUGAAAAACUAUCUAUUGGGCACUAUGCUUAUUACCUUGGUGAAAAAAUAAUCUGUGCAGCAAAUCCCUGUAACAUGCAAUUUACCUAUAAUAAGCCUGUGCAUGUACCUCUGAACCUAAAAUGAAAGUUACAAAAAGAAAAAAAAAGAAACUAUACAAAAUAUAUUUGUAGGAAAAAUGAGUAAAGUGAAUUCAGUGUUAAACUCUUUGAUGAUUAUUAUUAAAAUUAUGUAAAUCUAUGUAAUUUAAGUAGACAUUUUGCCAAAUGUGGUUUCAGUGAAGACUUUUAAUAUCAUGGUAUUUUUGUUUUCAUCUUACGGGAUCUUUUUGAGUAAUAAAAAUAAUAUUUUCAAACAACUACAAAAAUAUAUUAGUAAACAUUAUAGGAUCUAAACAACACUAUUUGCUAUCUUGAUCUAGUUGGCAUUUGUAGAACAAGAAUCCAACAACUCCAGAAUAUACUUUUCCACCCUAAAUACACAUAGUACAUUCACCAAAAUAGACCAGGAACUUCAGUCAGGAAUGAGAUAGAUGUCAUGACUUGAUGUUUAAGAAGAAUCUAUUACCACCAAAGCAAUCACUUUGCAAAUUGAUAAAACCUAUAUUUACAUUUUGAAAUAUUUCCUAAUUUAUUAAAUUGUUGUAAGAAAAGUGAAUUAAAUAUACUUAAAGUGCCACAGCAAGACCUGUAAUCAUAGCUGCCUUUUUUUUUUUAAUUUUCACAUACAACCUCAUUGUUUAAUUAGCAAAAAUAUCAAAUUCUAAAUUUGGAAAACAAUAUAGAAUCCAUUUUAGGAGCAUUUUGAAAUGGCACUGUGUCUGUGAUCAUAUGGAAGCUUAUGUACUUGACAUCUGAGAAACACAUAAUUCUAUUUCAAACUUUCUCCUGUUCUCAGCACUUUUAGCCUUGAAUGAUAUGCUCUUGGCAAUUUUUAUUUUGUGAUCACAAAACUUACUGCUUUAACUUCAUGUUUCAAAGUAUGAUUUGGAGGGAAAAUUAACCCUGUUCAAAACUAAUCCUUUCCACAGUCACUGCCACUAUCCCUUUAACAUUUCCUGAAGGUCAUUGUUGAGAUUUCAUUAUCAUGUUGCUGAUUUUUCUGCCCUUUUUUUUUCUUUUUUUCCACUAUCAGGGGAAGAGAACAUUCUGCAAAAGGUUUGCUGGUCUCCCUGUUCCCUUACAGUCCCAAAAGAAGAAAACUGAUUCCUUAAGCUUCAGAAUCUCUAGGCUAGCUCCAGAUUCUUAUUUAGAUACAAACACUCAUGGCUUUCAGAGACCCAAAGAAUCUUAGAAGGAAAGCACUGAGGGAUUACAAAAUAUUUUUGAAGGCUACAGUCUCUAUUUUGAAAAUAAGAAUGAAAAAGGUAUCAUCACCACCUCUGAAAACUGUACCCGCCCCCCAAUCAAUGUGCAGUGUUUUAGUACAUCCAGUUUCUCAUGGGGACAAAACCCAUAUGCAUAUUAAAACAGAGGCUCAAAUUCAGUGUCAAAAGCCUUAAAUGAUUAGCCCAAGUAUUAAGAAAUGCAUAAAAGAAGGCCCUGACAUUUAUUAGGCACAAAAAAUGCUUUCCCUUACACUUAUAGUUUGGCAAGAUGAUAUUAGAAACUUUGUUUUAAAUAUAUAUUCAAUAGCCUUCUUUUUAAAAAGGAUAAACUAGGUCCAAAGAUGUGAAGCAGCUUGCCCAAAUAUACACAAAAAAUCAAUCUGACCAGUUUUUGUUACACCCAUAGUCAUCAGUUGCAGACUUCUCAAAUAUUUUUGGACCAAUUUUGUUUGGGUUUACUUUCCUAAAAAUCUUCACCUUGUUGUUGAUCUUUAAAAGUUUGCAGUUGUUGUUCUUAUUAAAAUCACUUAAACCUUAGCCUAGGGAUCUGUAUUCUCCCGGAGAACUAUGACAACAGAGGCAGGAUUUGACUUAAAGCAAUUAAAGCAGGCCAGAGCUGCAUCCCUUCAGUAGGUAAAUGUUGAUAACUUCAAUGUAAGGCAGCAAUGUGGACACUGCUUGUUUCAGCCACUCAGAGGCUUUCAGCUUAAUCCACAGCAGUGAGCAAAAGGAUUGCUCCAUUUAAUUGGUUCUGUAGACUGCAUUAUUUAAGGAAUAGCAAAUAUUGUUUGGAGUCUGUGUGAAGGGAAACAGAAAAACAACUGCUGCAAAAUGGGAAUACAACAAUUUCUUAUCGACUUCUCUGAAAUAUUGAGAGAUUAAUGAGUCUGGGCCCAUAACAUAGUUAUAUUCCUAAGAAAAGUUGAUAUAUAUGCCAAAACCUUUUCCAGUUUAGUUUACUGCUGUUACUACUGGAAACAGCAUAAGACUUAAAGCCAAAGCUCUAACCCUGAGUCCUGGUUCUGCCUAUAAUUACUUAUGAGACUUUGGGAAAGUUAUUUCACCUCUGUAGGUUUUUCUUUCUACAUCUUUGAAGUGAAUAUUGUUAUACUGACCUCACAGGGUAA